UUUAGGGCAGGGGUGUCAAACUCAUUUAAGAUGGGGGGCCACAUGGAGAAAAAUCUACUCCCAAGUGGGCCGGUGUUGUGCCGAAUUCUGCACCCCCGCCGUAAAAUGCACCCCCUGUCGGGAGCGCGCUUACGUCACUCGGUUGCAUCACCCGUCUCGAAAAGUAGCUAAACUCGGCUAAAAUCGCCUCUUUCGGCAUAAAAAUGUACAUAACAAGGUGAAUAAUCCAAGUUGUCUUUACUUUGGAUAUAUUAAUGGAUGGAUUAAUUGUGAUUCUUUAAUGAUUUCGCCGCCAUUGCCUUUAAUGAUUUCGUCGUCAUUCAAUCGCCUCUUUCGGCAUAAAAAUGUACAUAACAAGGUGAAUAAUCCAAGUUGUCUUUACUUUGGAUAUAUUAAUGGAUGGAUUAAUUGUGAUUCUUCAAUGAUUUCGCCGUCAUUGCCUUUAAUGAUUUCGUCGUCAUUCAGAGACAUCAAGGAGAACGAAUGUUUGCUGCUUCACUCGACGGGAUCCAAUACAUGUAUUUUAAAAAUAUGACAUUUUCUUUAACUGUAAGAAGCUCAUGGGUGGAUGGAUGAAUACAUUAAUAAAUGAAUGCAUCUGA